GUGGAUACGACGGAACGGGGCUAAUACCGGAUAAUACAUGAAACCGCAUGGUUUCAUGAUGAAAGACGGUUUUGCUGUCACUUAUAGAUGGACCCGCGGCGUAUUAGCUAGUUGGUAAGGUAACGGCUUACCAAGGCAACGAUACGUAGCCGACCUGAGAGGGUGAUCGGCCACACUGGAACUGAGACACGGUCCAGACUCCUACGGGAGGCAGCAGCU
rnacentral:rRNA from 1 species